rnacentral:rRNA from 1 species
AGCGAACGCUGGCGGCAGGCCUAACACAUGCAAGUCGAACGAACUCUUCGGAGUUAGUGGCGGACGGGUGAGUAACACGUGGGAACGUGCCUUUUGGUUCGGAAUAACUCAGGGAAACUUGUGCUAAUACCGAAUGUGCCCUUCGGGGGAAAGAUUUAUCGCCAUUAGAGCGGCCCGCGUCUGAUUAGCUAGUUGGUGAGGUAACGGCUCACCAAGGCGACGAUCAGUAGCUGGUCUGAGAGGAUGACCAGCCACACUGGGACUGAGACACGGCCCAGACUCAUACGGGAGGAAGCAGUGGGGAAUCUUGCGCAAUGGGCGAAAGCCUGACGCAGCCAUGCCGCGUGAAUGAUGAAGGUCUUAGGAUUGUAAAAUUCUUUCACCGGGGACGAUAAUGACGGUACCCGGAGAAGAAGCCCCGGCUAACUUCGUG